rnacentral:miRNA from 1 species
AACGCCAUCAUCACACUAA